rnacentral:rRNA from 1 species
CCCUUAGAGUUUGAUCCUGGCUCAGGACGAACGCUGGCGGCGUGCUUAACACAUGCAAGUCGAACGGUGAAGCGGGUGCUUGCACUCGUGGAUCAGUGGCGAACGGGUGAGUAACACGUGAGUAACCUGCCCUCCACUCUGGGAUAAGCGCUGGAAACGGCGUCUAAUACUGGAUACGACCGACCCUCGCAUGGGGUGUUGGUGGAAAGAUUUAUCGGUGGUGGAUGGACUCGCGGCCUAUCAGCUUGUUGGUGGGGUAAUGGCCUACCAAGGCGACGACGGGUAGCCGGCCUGAGAGGGCGACCGGCCACACUGGGACUGAGACACGGCCCAGACUCCUACGGGAGGCAGCAGUGGGGAAUAUUGCACAAUGGGCGAAAGCCUGAUGCAGCGACGCCGCGUGAGGGAUGACGGCCUUCGGGUUGUAAACCUCUUCAGCAGGGAAGA